rnacentral:rRNA from 1 species
UUGAACGCUGGCGGCAUGCCUUACACAUGCAAGUCGAACGGUAACGGGUCUUCGGAUGCUGACGAGUGGCGAACGGGUGAGUAAUACAUCGGAACGUGCCCGAUCGUGGGGGAUAACGCAGCGAAAGCUGUGCUAAUACUGCAUACGAUCUACGGAUGAAAGCGGGGGAUCGCAAGACCUCGCGCGGACGGAGCGGCCGAUGGCAGAUUAGGUAGUUGGUGGGAUAAAAGCUUACCAAGCCGACGAUCUGUAGCUGGUCUGAGAGGACGACCAGCCACACUGGGACUGAGACACGGCCCAGACUCCUACGGGAGGCAGCAGUGGGGAAUUUUGGACAAUGGGCGAAAGCCUGAUCCAGCCAUGCCGCGUGCAGGAUGAAGGCCUUCGGGUUGUAAACUGCUUUUGUACGGAACGAAAAAGUCUUCUCUAAUACAGGGGGCGAAUGACGGUACCGUAAGAAUAAGCACCGGCUAACUACGU